rnacentral:rRNA from 1 species
AUCUACGGCCACACCACCCUGAAUGUGCCCGAUCUUCUCUGAUCUCGGAAGCUAAGCAGGGUCAGGCCUGGUUAAUACUUGGACGGGAGAAUCUUCCAAAUGUCAUACUAU